UACAGAGGUGGCAAGCGUUGUUCGGAAUUACUGGGCGUAAAGGGCGCGUAGGCGGUUCGUUAAGUCCUGUGUGAAAUCCCCGGGCUUAACCUGGGAACUGCGUUUGAAACUGGAAGGCUUGAGUGUGGCAGAGGGGGGUGGAAUUCCACGUGUAGCAGUGAAAUGCGUAGAUAUGUGGAGGAACACCGAUGGCGAAGGCAGCCCCCUGGGCUAACACUGACGCUCAUGCACGAAAGACGUGGGGAGCAAACAGG
rnacentral:rRNA from 1 species